UACGAAGGGGGCUAGCGUUGUUCGGAUUUACUGGGCGUAAAGCGCACGUAGGCGGAUCGAUCAGUCAGGGGUGAAAUCCCAGAGCUCAACUCUGGAACUGCCUUUGAUACUGUCGAUCUGGAGUAUGGAAGAGGUGAAUGGAAUUCCGAGUGUAGAGGUGAAAUUCGUAGAUAUUCGGAGGAACACCAGUGGCGAAGGCGGCUCACUGGUCCAUUACUGACGCUGAGGUGCGAAAGCGUGGGGAUCAAACAGG
rnacentral:rRNA from 1 species